CCUGACGCAGCGACGCCGCGUGAGGGAAGAAGGUCUUCGGAUUGUAAACCUCUGUCCUCAGGGACGAUAAUGACGGUACCUGAGGAGGAAGCUCCGGCUAACUACGUGCCAGCAGCCGCGGUAAUACGUAGGGAGCAAGCGUUGUCCGGAUUUACUGGGUGUAAAGGGUGCGUAGGCGGCUCUGCAAGUCAGGUGUGAAAACUAUGGGCUUAACUCAUAGAUUGCACUUGAAACUGUGGGGCUUGAGUGGAGCAGAGGCAGGCGGAAUUCCCGGUGUAGCGGUGAAAUGCGUAGAGAUCGGGAGGAACACCAGUGGCGAAGGCGGCCUGCUGGGCUUUAACUGACGCUGAGGCACGAAAGCAUGGGUAGCAAACAGGAUUAGAUACCCUGGUAGUCCAUGCCGUAAACGAUGAUUACUAGGUGUGGGGGGUCUGACCCCUUCCGUGCCGGAGUUAACACAAUAAGCAAUCCACCUGGGGAGUACGGCCGCAAGGUUGAAACUCAAAGGAAUUGACGG
rnacentral:rRNA from 1 species